rnacentral:rRNA from 1 species
GAACUGUAGAGUUUGAUCCUGGCUCAGAUUGAACGCUGGCGGAAUGCUUUACACAUGCAAGUCGAGCGGCAGCGCGGGGCAACCUGGCGGCGAGCGGCGAACGGGUGAGUAAUACAUCGGAACGUGCCCGGACGUGGGGGAUAACUACUCGAAAGAGUGGCUAAUACCGCAUACGAUCUGAGGAUGAAAGCGGGGGAUCGCAAGACCUCGCGCGUUUGGAGCGGCCGAUGGCAGAUUAGGUAGUUGGUGAGGUAAAGGCUUACCAAGCCCGCGAUCUGUAGCUGGUCUGAGAGGAUGAUCAGCCACACUGGGACUGAGACACGGCCCAGACUCCUACGGGAG